AGCAGAACUGAAUUUCCAUCCAUCCAAGUGACAGCAAGCCAAUGACCUCAGGUCUUCUGUCCCCUAGAUACUUCUACGUGACCAGAGAACAAAUACUUCAACCCAAGAUAGUUUGACGCCAUCUUGAUUGGGUUCACGUGGCAAGCUAUGUCGAGCAAUCGUAUCAGAUUUCAAUUGUGGUCAGCCAUGACUUCAUCUGUUGUAUUUCCACAUCCAGAAACUAGCAGAUCAUCCAUUAUAACUUCCACAGAGGAAGCAACCUCAUUCUUCCCUUUUAGUUAGAACAUUUGAUCAAUAAUGUUUUUACCUAUUUUUCCACUCAUAACUAUUUUCAGAGCCAUAUCAUCUCAUCCUGCCUGUGUAUGAAGGUGUGCAUGUUUGGAAUAAAAGAGAUAUAGUUUAAUUUGGUAUGGGUUCUUAAUUGAUAAGCAGUUUGGCCACAUGCUUAAAGCAUUGGCUUGUUUCCAAUACACAAGUUACUUUUGAGUUUACUGAAGAAACCUGACAACAGUUUGCUUUGCUUGAGGUAAUAAUAAAUUGAGUUUUUCCAGCAAUUUCUGAUUUAUACUUACGGUAUUGUUGUGAAGUAAUGAGCCUUUUCCAUGUGAACUCCUACUUUCAGAGUUUUAACAAAGUUAGGGAGCUUGGUGUGGGAUGUUUGGACAUAGGCAAUGUGUGAUUGGACUUAAGGUGUUAGUGAAGGACAAAAGGACAGAGAUCAGGAUUCUCAUAUUACAAAAAUAAGGUGGCAUUGGAAAUAGCUAAAACUUUCUAAAGGUAGAGGAAAAGUUUACAAGAUUUAAGUAAAGCUAAGCUAAUAGAAUUGGCAAAGAAGUUAAAGAUAUAAUUUCGUGUACAAGCGAAGAAUGCAGAGAUAAUUGAAGUACUGGCAGGGCAUUUAGGAUUGGUGGAAAUAUAUGAGAGAAUAGGUACUCCAAAUAAUGAGUCACUGAGUUAGUCUUAGCUGGGUAAUGUUUAAAUCAAUUUGAACAUGAAAAAGAAAUGAAGCAGUUCGGAACAGAAUUCCAACUAGAAGUGAGGAACAUCAGAACUCAAAAUUAACUGAAUUGAACUUGAACAAAAAGCUUAUAUGUUAUGAAAUUCUUUAUGUUGUGACACUCUCUGUGAGGGAAUUUUCCCCAUGAAGUGAUACUCCAUGUGAGGUAGUACUGUUUAUGGGGUGAGUUCGUGUGUGAUAUGGUGCUCACUGUGUCAUGAUAUUCACUGUGAUUCUCUGUGUUAUACUUGAUCAUUUUAUACUCUUUGUGAUGUGAUACUCUCUGUGA